UUUUUGGCUGUGAAGAGAAGAGUAACUGCAGGAGUAUUUUUAGAGAGUCGGUGGUGGCUGUAAACCGACAAUACAAGAGUAGUGAAGAUGGACUCGGAGCUUCAGACCUGAGCUGAUAGAGUUAGGGUCUGCGUAUGAAUGCGUUAAAUCUAAGAGAUACUGGCGGAGGGACUUCUUCAUAAAUUGUAGGGGGAGAGUUCCAGCAAAUACAGACUAAAAAGUUUGAUGGCCAGUAAGUAGGGUGGUACCGUGAUUAUUAUUCGCCCCUAUG
rnacentral:ncRNA from 1 species